GACAGAGGGUGCAAACGUUGCUCGGAAUUACUGGGCGUAAAAGCGCGUGUAGGUGGUCACGCAAGUCAGGUGUGAAAGCCCAGGGCUCAACCCUGGAAGUGCACAUGAUACUACGUGGCUGGAGUACUGAAGAGGGAGAGCGGAAUUCCCGGUGUAGAGGUGAAAUUCGUAGAUAUCGGGAGGAACACCAGUGGCCGGAAGGCGGCUCUCUGGGCAGAUACUGACACUGAGACGCGAAAGCGUGGGUAGCAAACAGG
rnacentral:rRNA from 1 species